UACGGGGGGAGCAAGCGUUGUUCGGAUUUACUGGGCGUAAAGGGCGCGUAGGCGGCCACCGCAAGUCAAUUGUGAAAUCUCCGGGCUUAACCCAGAAAGGUCAACCGAUACUGCGGGGCUAGAGUGCAGAAGGGGCAACUGGAAUUCUCGGUGUAGCGGUGAAAUGCGUAGAUAUCGAGAGGAACACCUGCGGCGAAGGCGGGUUGCUGGGCUGACACUGACGCUGAGGAGCGAAAGUGUGGGUAGCAAACAGG
rnacentral:rRNA from 1 species